rnacentral:rRNA from 1 species
AACCAGACUCCUACGGGAGGCAGCAGUGGGGGAUAUUGGACAAUGGGGGAAACCCUGAUCCAGCGAUGCCGCGUGAGGGAAGAAGGUUUUCGGAUUGUAAACCUCUGUGGACAGGGACGAUAAUGACGGUACCUGUCAAGAAAGCCACGGCUAACUCCGUGCCAGCAGCCGCGGUAAUACGGAGGAUGCGAGCGUUAUCCGGAUUUAUUGGGUUUAAAGGGUGCGCAGGCGGUCUGUUAAGUCAGCGGUCAAAGCCGGGGCCCAACCCCCGGCCCGCCGUUGAAACUGGCAGUCUCGAGUUGGAGAGAAGUAUGCGGAAUGCGCGGUGUAGCGGUGAAAUGCAUAGAUAUCGCGCAGAACUCCGAUUGCGAAGGCAGCAUGCCGGCUCCACACUGACGCUGAGGCACGAAAGCGUGGGUAUCGAACAGGAUUAGAUACCCUUGUACC